AACCCCUACGGACGCAGCAGUGGGGAAUUUUGGACAAUGGGCGCAAGCCUGAUCCAGCUAUUCCGCGUGUGGGAUGACGGCCCUCGGGUUGUAAACCACUUUAGUAGAGAACGAAAAGGAGCCAUCGAAUAAAUAGCUCUGCUGACGGUACCCUAAGAAUAAGCACCGGCUAACUACGUGCCAGCAGCCGCGGUAAUACGUAGGGUGCGAGCGUUAAUCGGAAUUACUGGGCGUAAAGGGUGUGCAGGCGGCUGAGUAAGACAGAUGUGAAAUCCCCGGGCUUAACCUGGGAACCGCAUAU
rnacentral:rRNA from 1 species